UGGGGAAUAUUGCACAAUGGGCGAAAGCCUGAUGCAGCGACGCCGCGUGAGGGAUGACGGCCUUCGGGUUGUAAACCUCUUUCAGUAGGGACGAAGCGCAAGUGACGGUACCUGCAGAAGAAGCACCGGCUAACUACGUGCCAGCAGCCGCGGUAAUACGUAGGGUGCGAGCGUUGUCCGGAAUUACUGGGCGUAAAGAGCUCGUAGGCGGUUUGUCACGUCGUCUGUGAAAUCCUAGGGCUUAACCCUGGACGUGCAGGCGAUACGGGCUGACUUGAGUACUACAGAGGAGACUGGAAUUUCUGGUGUAGCGGUGGAAUGCACAGAUAUCAGGAAGAACACCGAUGGAGAAGGCAGGUCUCUGGGUAGUAACUGACGCUGAGGAGCGAAAGCAUGGGUAGCGAACAGG
rnacentral:rRNA from 1 species